AUAUAUGAUCCAUUUUACUCCAAAUACACAGUCUUUAGAUCUUUUGAUUUUUGUACAUAAUUUUUUUAAAGAUUAGAUCGCUAGGUUAAAAAUUAAUUAUUACUGAAUCAAUUGUGUAUAUUUAGUAUCCAAUAAAUAGUUCAACCUUCUAUGUUUAGACGUUACAAUCGCAAGGACACAUCAGUAUCAACAAGUUAAUAAAACAACUAAAUUUCUAUUGAGGACAAAAUAUACCACAUCAUCAUUUCUCUGACACCUUAAGUCAACAUCUUAUGCUUAUCGAAAAUAUCUCAAAUUCAAUCCAAUCCAAUGGUGACAAAGUUUUUGAGAUA
rnacentral:lncRNA from 1 species